rnacentral:rRNA from 1 species
GAUGAACGCUGGCGGCGUGCCUAAUACAUGCAAGUCGAGCGAACAGAUGAGGAGCUUGCUCCUCUGACGUUAGCGGCGGACGGGUGAGUAACACGUGGAUAACCUACCUCUAAGACUGGGAUAACUUCGGGAAACCGGAGCUAAUACCGGAUCAUAUAUUGAACCGCAUGGUUCAAUAGUGAAAGACGGUUUUGCUGUCACUUAUAGAUGGAUCCGCGCCGCAUUAGCUAGUUGGUAAGGUAACGGCUUACCAAGGCAACGAUGCGUAGCCGACCUGAGAGGGUGAUCGGCCACACUGGAACUGAGACACGGUCCAGACUCCUACGGGAGGCAGCAGUAGGGAAUCUUCCGCAAUGGGCGAAAGCCUGACGGAGCAACGCCGCGUGAGUGAUGAAGGUCUUCGGAUCGUAAAACUCUGUUAUUAGGGAAGAACAAAUGUGUAAGUAACUAUGCACGUCUUGACGGUACCUAAUCAGAAAGCCACGGCUAACUACGUG